rnacentral:tRNA from 1 species
GGAGGGAUGGCCGAGUGGCUGAAGGCGGCGGUCUUGAAAACCGCAGACCAGCAUGAGGGCAAAGCAUUACUCGUCCUGCCU